AAUUUAUUUUUAAUGGAGGUACUGGGGAUUGAACCCAGAACCUCAUGCAUGCUAAGCACACACUCUACCCUUCAUUGCAAUUUUUUUAAAUACAAACGAAUUUUACUAGUCUUAGUCAUAAUGUACAUAAAUUCGUAUGUUACAUAAAGUAGGACAAUCUCAUAAUCACAGUCACUGUUACCCAGUGCCUCUAAGCCACAGCAUCACAUGGUUCUGAGUGGGAGUCUACACAGAUUCACGGAGAAAGAGGAGGUAGGUCAGCUGAGAAGUCAGAGCCUUGCUGGAGAGCCAUUGCAGGCCAGUCCUGGUGCCCGUGCCCCUCACAGCCGGAGCAGGAGGGAGACUUGCAAACAAGUGGAGUUCCCGGCCCUGGAAUACGUGCGCCACAGAGGUGAGUGCCGGUGAGAGGGGAUCCUUGUGCAACAAGUCGCGUCUGAGCCACAGCUGAGUCACUCUGAAGUGCGAAUAGGAGUUCGCCACAUCAAGCAAGGUAGGCGGGACGUUCCAGGCAGACGGAGGAGCAGAGAUGACGGUCCAGAGAUGGGAAAUACUGCCAGGGGCACCCUAAGAAGCUGAGAGCACCCCUCUCCCUACUUUUCUUCACUGAGGAUAAGGAGGGGGAUCGCGUAUUGUGUCUCUGGAAGGGUGUACCUGGCUGAUUCCAUUGCAAUGAUCCUGUAUCCUCCACCAGAAAGCCAUCUUUCUUCACAUCGACUAGACUUGAAUUUUCAGUGUUACCAGUAGCUGCUCAACCUAAUGUUAACUUUCAUUUCCUUUUCCACUCCCUGCGAAAGGCUUUGUGCUUUCACAAGCCUUGGGGUUUGGACCGUGUCAGGUCCCAAGGCUCCGACCUGAUGGGCGCCUGGUUGGCCCCAGCUGCUGGCUGCAGCUGUGCGGGUAACUCCAGCAUCUCGGGCUUUACAGCUCGCCAGCUGUAGCUGUUUGAGUUCAGCUCGGUUUGCUCCUUGCUCUGGGGCUGUUCCAGUUGUCAACUCUUCCUGCUCUGACGGGGAAAGUCCCCUUUAAAGCCACGUGCUUAAAACUGAAACCAAAGUGUAACGGCCACAUGGCCACCACAAAGGCGGGACCUCCAGUGCCUCCUAAGUCCUGGCUGAAGUCCUCCUUCACUGCAUGUUCAAGGCCAAGGCAGUGGGAGGAACUAGCUCCUGGCAGUUUCUAAAUCUAGACUUGUCUUCCCUCCAGGGAGGGGCUUUGUCCCCUGCCUCUCUCCCCACUGUGCCUUUUCUUUCCUGGUUCACAUUUUAAAUUUAGCCAAGAAUUGCAAAACAUUUUUUAAAGGUGAAAAGAAGCCACAGGGUGACCCCCCCAUCUCUUUCUCCCUCAAACCAAAGAGAAGGGUUGAGGAGCCAACUCCCCUAUUUCCCUUAGAAACCCUAAGUAGGGGGUUGGGUGUACCUGAGGGGCCAGGCAGAGAAAGCAAGUGAGAGUAGCCACCCAGGAGUCAGGGAAGGGCGGAGAUGGGGAGAGUGGAGAAGAUGCAAGAACGACACUCUUAUACCGGAGGCAGUCACUCCAUACUGGUACCCAGGAUUUUUUUUUCCUGAGUGGCAGAGGCAUAUGCAAAAAAAAUUUUUUAACGCUUUUUAAAAAAAUUGAAGUUUAGUCAGUUUACAGCAUUGUGUCAAUUUCUGGUGUACAGCAUAAUGUUUCAGUCAUCCAUAUACAUACAUAUAUUUCUUUUCAUAUUCUUCUCCAUUAUAGGUUACUACGAAAUACUGAAUAUAGUUCCCUGUGCUACACAGCAGAAACUUGUUGUUUAUCUAUUUUAUGUAUAGUAGUUAGUGUCUGCAAAUCUUGGAUUCCCAACUUACCCCUUCCCACCCGCGAGAUUUUGAUGUGACAUUUCAUGCAUUUAUAAACCAUUGUAAGUGUCCCCAUCCAGGGUAGAUGUCCUGGGCACAUACUCUCCACCCCCCCGUCCCCGUUUUCUCGGGUGCCCCUCGGCUGGAAGCCUUCAGUCUGCUGGGACUGCCUGAGGAUGGCUGUGCGAUGCUUGACCUUUGUCUGGGUCCUUUGAAGCUGCCGAAACGAAACACCACGGACUGCGUAGCUUAUAAACCAUGGAAAUUUAUCUCCCACCAUCCUGGACGCUGGGAAGUGCAAGUUCAAGAAGCUGGCGGAUUCAGUGUCCGUUACCCCGAAAAGCUUUCGACAUAUUCACAGAGCUGUGCAACCCCCACCACAAUCAGAAUGUUUCCAUCACACCCAGAAGAAACCCAGCCGGCAGCAACUCCACGUUUACUCCUCAGGACAAAUGUUUCCAGCUCCAGCCACCACUUCCACUGUCCAUGGACUUGUCCAUUCUGGUCAUUUCAUAUAAACGGCAUUAUGCAACCAUAUGACCUUUGUGCUUUGUGUCCUUUCACGUAGCAGAAUGCUUUCAAGGUUCAUCAGCGUUGUAGCACGCAUCAGAACCUCUUUCCUUUUUAUUGCUGAAUAAGGCUUCAUUGAGCGGAUAUACUGCGUUUUGUUUAUCUGUUCAUCAGUUGAUGGACUUUUGGGUUGUUUCCACUUUCGACUAUUGUGAAGAGUGCAGCUGUGAACAUUCAAGUACAAAUGUUUUUAUUGUGGUAAGAUAGACAUAAUAUAAAA